UAAUAAUAGCAAAUUGUAAAUUUUAAAGAUAUUAAUUGUAUUUACUGAUCUUUGAUUGGUUAAAAAUCAUAGAAAAUAACUAAACACGGAAAAAUGUGUUUAUUGUGAAAAUUUACGUAUUUUUUUAAUAGGUGUGAAAACUCUAGAAUAUACAUUAUUUUGAAACAGAGAGAGUAUUUAUUUGCAAGGGUUCAGACUAUAAGACAAGGGUAUGUUUAAAUAUUCGUCAAACUUAAGAGGUGGAUGGAUAAUAUGGUUUUUAAUCCUUGCUAGCUGUGGUAUGUUGAAUUGGAGAUGAUGUUUUCAAGCGAGUUGCGGCCUAAAAGGGAUCUAUUUAGUGCAUUAAUGUUUUAGAUUUAUUGGGCACAUGAAACUCAUCGAUGAGCAUCAUCUCCAGCAACGUCCAGUCCUUGACAUGAUCACGGGGAAGGAGAUUGUUGGUACACGUACAACCUAAAGAGGAAGGUCUGGUUCAGCUCAAUGUCUUCCUCCAGAUUCCAGAGUAUUCAUUGACAACGAGGUCAGC